UACGGAGGAUGCGAGCGUUAUCCGGAUUUAUUGGGUUUAAAGGGUGCGCAGGCGGUCUGUUAAGUCAGCGGUCAAAGCCCGGGGCUCAACCCCGGCCCGCCGUUGAAACUGGGGGGCUUGAGUAUGUUUGAGGCAGGCGGAAUGCGUGGUGUAGCGGUGAAAUGCAUAGAUAUCGCGCAGAACCCCGAUUGCGAAGGCAGCAUACCGGCGCCCGACUGACGCUGAGGCACGAAAGCGUGGGUAUCGAACAGG
rnacentral:rRNA from 1 species